rnacentral:rRNA from 1 species
AUGGGUCACCAGUCGAUCCGGAUGUGGAUAAGGAAGUGGAGGGAACAUAUAACAAGCUUCUUGAUAAUGCCAGCCACCUGCGUGCAGCAAUGGGAGAUGUGGCAAUCUGAUGGGGGUAUCUCCUCACAGGAGAUGAACUUAAUCAAUUGGCAUAUAGCAAUUCAUGAGUACGCCAAUGCAGGAUCAUCUUCAAGGCUUAGCCUUGCAUUUUGGGACCAGGAUGAUACGUAUGACAUGGGUGGGGAUCACUGCUUCUUGCCUGGUGGCAACGGGAGGCUUGUACAUGCCUGGCAGAGAAUGUGCCUAUUGUUUAUGAGAGGACAGUGCACACUAUGUGGUAUGGAGGGGAUGGUGUGCAGGUGGUUGUCAAUGGUGGUCAGGUGUAUGAAGGGGACAUGA